rnacentral:lncRNA from 1 species
UCACUUCUCCUUCAUCCUUGGAACACUCUUACAGUAACAACAACAUAUUUUCUUCAUUUUCUUUUUAUAAAACAACCAUCUUUGCUCUUUUCUUUCUUGAAAAACAAAACAAAAUUUAUAUCUAUUUCAAGCCCCACUCAUCAUGGUGAAUAAAAAACAGCAUGAAGAUUCAACAAAAACAAAACUUGAUUGCUUCUAAGACCUCUCUCUCUCACACUUGGUUUUAAUGGGAACAACAUGAUUUUUAAAAAAAAAUUCAAAGUAACAAACUCUCAUAUCAAAGCAAAAGCAAAAGUUUAUGAAAGCAAAACAAUGAAAAGGAAGAGAACGACUACCAAGUCAAAGCUCGUUUUCGCAAGUGGAGACGGAAUGGCAAGUUUUUCGGCGAUGUCGUAAAAUGGCGAUGACGUGUUUGAACCGUCGGUUUCACUAUAUUUCGUGGUGAUGGAGUUGUGUGUUUAAACUGUGGAUGAUGGUGAUAAUGGAACUGUUUGGUUUAUGAAGCUUGAAGAUUUUGAGUGAUGGUGUUGUUGUUGUUUUAUGAAGCUUGAAGUUUUUAGAGUGAUGAUGUUUUUGUUUAUGAAGUUUCUUUUUUUAGUUUUUUUUGAGUGAUAAGGUGUGGUGAGGGAAGAGAAGAUAUGAUGAUAGUUAUAUGGCGUUAAAGGGUGAAGAGAAAGAAAAGAGGUUUAAGUUUUUAUAUAUUUUUUAAUUUUUUUGGAGUGAGAGUUGUGAGAGAUGUGAGAGAUGUGAGGUGUGAGUGAAAGAGAUGAUGAUGAACAUUGGUGUAGCAGAAGAAAUUGAUGUGAAGGAGGAAGAAAAGAAAAAGUGCACGUGAGGGAAAAGGAGAAAGAUGGGGAAAGGUUAUGAAUAGUAGAGAAAGAGUGAGUUUUUUGAGGAAAGAAAUUUAAUAUAUUUUAUGUUAGAUAUUUUUUUGUGUGUAAGUGUGGAUGUGAAGAAAAGAGGAAAGAGAGAAAGGAAGAAAAAAGAAUAGUGAGAGUGAGAGGAAAAAGAAGAAACGUGGAGAGAGAAAAGAAGGAAAGAGAGGAGAGAGAAAAAGAAGUAUACGCGGAGAGAGAAAAGGAGAAAAGAGAGGAGAGAGAAAAAGAAGUAUACACGGAGAGAGAAAAGAAGGAAAGAGAGGAGAGAGAAAAAAUAAAAGAAAAAAAAGGAAAAGAAGUUAUGAGAGAAAAAAAAAAGAAAAAAAAGAAAAAAAAGAAAAAAAGGAAAAAUGAAAAUAAUACCAAGUAGCACUCCACCAAUGGCUAAAGGAGUUUUUUUUUUUAAUUUUUUAAAAAAUGACUUUAAAAUAAAAAUAAAUGAUUUACUGGGUCGCUGGUAAAAAAAUUAAAUAAUUUUGUUCUUACUAUUUAAAUAAUAAAUAAUCAAAUAAAUACAAAUAUGAAUAAAAUAAAAUUGACAAAAUAGAUAAUUCUAAAUAAUUCCUCAUAUUAUUUUGGCGAAAGAUAAAGAAUAAUCGGAUAAAAAAGGAAUAAAAAUUGGGCAUAAAAAAAAUAAAAAAAAUAAAAAAUAAAAAAUAAAAAAUAAAAAAUAAAAAAUAAUAAAAAAUAAUAAAAAAUAAAGUGACAGCAUAAAAAUGAUCAGCGCAAAAUAAACUUCUCGGAAACAUACAGGUUUUGAUCAAAAUUUAAAGUAAAAAUUGAUCGAUUAAAAGGCUCAGGCGGGCAUAAAAAAUGCGACUGAAAGGUAGUCGAAUAAAAUAAAAUGAGCAUGCCAGGUUGAACUACGCGACCCAUAGAUCAAUAAAACUGACGUCUGAA